GCGCCCGUAGCUCAGUUGGAUAGAGCGUCUGACUACGAAUCAGAAGGCCGCAGGUUCGAGCCCUGUCGGGCGCA
rnacentral:tRNA from 1 species